AGUCAUUCUUUGCCUUCUGGGCUUGAGUUCCCUGGUCAUAUAGUGAGGGACACAACCUGUCAUACACAACCAGAUGACACGGCUGGAUGCAACAAGCAGAGCUGCUGUCUGCUCAGAGCCAACCCUCAGGACUUCCCAAGUGUUCGCUGUCUUGGUAUCUGCUCCACUCUCCGUCAAGGACAUCCAGCUUCCUCACAGAGGCCAGCACAGGCUCCAGGUAGCGGCUGAGCAGAAAAAGCCUAGAAGGCUCCAUAGUUUGCAGAGCCCAUAACUUACCAAGAAAAUAAACCCGUG
rnacentral:lncRNA from 1 species